rnacentral:rRNA from 1 species
UGGAUUAGUGGCGAACGGGUGAGUAACACGUGGGCAAUCUGCCCUUCACUCUGGGACGAGCCCUGGAAACGGGGUCUAAUACCGGAUAACACUCUGUCCCGCAGGGGACGGGGUUAAAAGCUCCCGCGGUGAAGGAUGAGCCCGCGGCCUAUCAUCUUGUUGGUGGGGUGAUGGCGUACCAAGGCGACAACGGGUAGCCGGCCUGAGAGGGCGACCGGCCACACUGGGACUGAGACACGGCCCACACUCCUACAGGAGGCAGCAGUGGGGAAUAUUGCACAAUGGGCGAAAGCCUGAUGCCGCGACGCCGCGUGAGGGAUGACGGCCUUCGGGUUGUAAACCUCUUUCAGCAGGGAAGAAGCGAAAGUGACGGUACCUGCAGAAGAAGCGCCGGCUAACUACGUGCCAGCAGCCGCGGUAAUACGUAGGGCGCAAGCGUUGUCCGGAAUUAUUGGGCGUAAAGAGCUCGUAGGCGGCUUGUCACGUCGGAUGUGAAAGCCCGGGGCUUAACCCCGGGUCUGCAUUCGAUACGGGCUAGCUAGAGUGUGGUAGGGGAGAUCGGAAUUCCUGGUGUAGCGGUGAAAUGCGCAG